rnacentral:pre_miRNA from 1 species
UCAACCUUUCAUGCAUCCAACAUGCUCCUGAAGAGUAUUUUUGAAACCCCUUUUCACGGUAUUGCUGCUGCAGGAGCAUGUUGGAUGCAUGAAAGGUUG